GAUAAAACGCUGGCGGCGCACAUAAGACAUGCAAGUCGAACGGACUUAACUCAUUCUUAACGAUUGAGAGCGGUUAGUGGCGGACUGGUGAGUAAUGUAUAAGUAACCUGCCUAUCAGAGGGGAACAACAGUUGGAAACGACUGCUAAUACCGCAUAUGCCCACGAGAAUCACAUGGUUCAAGUGGGGAAAGGAGCAAUCUGCUGAUAGAUGGACUUAUAUCUGAUUAGCUAGUUGGUGGGGCAAUGGCCUACCAAGGCGACGAUCAGUAGCCGGACUGAGAGGUUAAACGGCCACAUUGGGACUGAGAUACGGCCCAG
rnacentral:rRNA from 1 species